GAGGAUAUAGCUCAGUGUUAGAGCAUGUGUUUAGCAUGCAUGAGGUCCUGGGUUCAAUCCCCAGUACUUCCA
rnacentral:tRNA from 1 species